GACGAACGCUGGCGGCGUGCUUAACACAUGCAAGUCGAACGGAAAGGCCCUGCUUGCAGGGUACUCGAGUGGCGAACGGGUGAGUAACACGUGGGUGAUCUGCCCUGCACUUCGGGAUAAGCCUGGGAAACUGGGUCUAAUACCGGAUAGGAGCCAUUUUUAGUGUGAUGGUUGGAAAGUUUUUUCGGUGUAGGAUGAGCUCGCGGCCUAUCAGCUUGUUGGUGGGGUAAUGGCCUACCAAGGCGGCGACGGGUAGCCGGCCUGAGAGGGUGGACGGCCACAUUGGGACUGAGAUACGGCCCAGACUCCGACGGGAGGCAGCAGGGGGGAAUAUUGCACAAGGGGCGCAAGCCUGAUGCAGCGACGCCGCGUGGGGGAUGACGGCCUUCGGGUUGGAAACUCCUUUCGCUAGGGACGAAGCUUUUUGUGACGGUACCUAGAUAAGAAGCACCGGCUAACUACGUG
rnacentral:rRNA from 1 species